rnacentral:lncRNA from 1 species
ACAAUAUUAUGUACAGUUGUAGUGUAAAUAUUGGUAGUUUCCAUGGAUAAUUGACUUUGCCAUGCUUUGCCUGUGCAGGGUGCCUGAAAGGAUUUCCUGUCAUUGUGGGCCUUGAUCCUUAAGAAGCCCACCUGCAGGCCAUCUCAAACCCAAAGGCAGGACUCCGUUUGUGCAGAGGCAAAAGAAGAUAUUAAAAGCAGGGCAAGGAGCAUCUGUAGGAGAGCAUUUUCCUGCUCAACAGCUGAAAUUCCCAUUAAAGAUUUUCUAAAUUGCUUGCGAUUGUUAGAGAUUGGGUAAGUGAGACGGGGAAGGAGAGAAGACACAGAACGCUAAGCAGGAUGUACAUGGGGAAUUUUCAUUAGUAGAAAAAGAAUCCUGUUUCCUGCUAAGAACUUCCUGGACCUUGUCAAGUGUCCCCUGUCCUAUGGAAGGCUGAGGUUGGGUAAAUAAUUCUCUUCUUCCCAACUGUCUGGAAGUUCUUACAAAUGAGCUUAGUUUGCUUUUUGCGUUCGUAGUUUUCGCCCAGGCCUUAUUUCAUUUGUGUUGAUUUGAUGUCACAAGGAACUUUCACAUCAUAACUUAUAUCAUAAGAUAGAAUUCUCCCCACUCUCCUUUCC